AAGGGAAGGGAAGGGAAGGGAAGGGGCAAGCAAACAGGCAAGCAAUGAAUCAAGACAGAAAGAGAAAUAAAAGAAGGAAAUAAGAGACAGAAUGAAAGAGAAAGAGGGAAAGGGAGAAAGAAAAAAGAGAAAGAGGAGAGAUCAAAAAAGAGUGAGACAAAGAGAAAAAAGACAAUAAAAGCAGGAGUAGGAAAUAUUUUAACAAAUAAUGGUUUUGCAUAUUUACACAGAAACUAGAGCAUGUCAGGAAAAUGGCACUGUGUGAAAAUCUUUUCUUUUUCACAGAUGAGAAAACCUUUCCAGUCCGGUGCUGAAGAUGGGUGUUGGGGUCACACAAGAGGGCAGGAAAACUACCAUUCUUCUGUGUGGGCUUGGCAAUCAGGGGGAGCAAAGAACAAGAUGGAAGGUGAUUUUUGGUGACCCCAUGUCCAAUCCACAAUGAGAAGAAAAAUGGCAGAUCAUGCUAGGAAAAUAAGGGGAUAUCAGGAGACAAAAUGAGAUGGACCAGCUCGACUGCGAAGAAAAACUGAGAGAAUUGAGCUUGUUCAGCCUGGAGAAGAGAAUCUUUGGGGUGACCUCACUGUGGCUUUCCAGUACCUGAAGGGAGCUGUUGGAACCCGGGGCACUGGGAAUGUUUCGCUGCCUGUCCUGAGAAGUCCUGACUCCCAGGGGAACACUGCUUUCAACCUUCGUCCAUGGAGAAAGCUUUCAAGACUUAGGGGUGAACUGGAAUUUAUGAGUGUGUGAAAUAGAUAGUAGUAUAGUUUAUCACAAGGUGAAAAAGUUAGAGUUUUGGGUUUUUAGUAUGGAAGUGGGUAGGAGAAAAGAUGGAGGAUUUUGGGUGUUGGCUGAUCUUGUUCUUCAUCUGCUCCAUUUUCUGCAGUGUUGGGAGCAGAGGGUGAUUGGUGAGAAAAAGCUGCAAUGCAGGUUGACAGACUAAUUAGUUAUUGGUAAAAAGGUAGAAAUAAAAUACAUUCUAAGAGUUAAUUUUACAAAAUAGCUUUAAAAAGCCUUGCAUCUGUUUGUCUUUUGACUUUUGGUGUCUUUCUCAUUGUACGCUAAAUCUGAGAUGUAGGUGGCGUGCCAAACCGAGUAUAAGACAAAAAUAAACAACAAUCUGAAGACGAAAAAACCAAAAGUCACGUCCAUCUCUCCUUCCUGGCACAGAACUUCUUAGGGGUCUGCCCAUCACAGGAACCUGCAAAGGAGGUUUCCCCAGCAGCCUACAGAAAUUGGAGAGAGGCAAUUGACAAGGGCCUGCAGAAGGGAGAAUGGCUCCCAGUGCCAGAGGGCAGGGCUGGCUGGGAUCUUGGGAACUGGGAAUUGUUCCCUGGCACAGGGUGGGCAGGCCC